rnacentral:rRNA from 1 species
UACGUAGGGCGCAAGCGUUGUCCGGAAUUAUUGGGCGUAAAGAGCUCGUAGGCGGCCUGUUGCGUCCGCUGUGAAAUCCCGGGGCUCAACUCCGGGCCUGCAGUGGAUACGGGCUGGCUAGAGGCAGGCAGGGGAGAACGGAAUUCCUGGUGUAGCGGUGAAAUGCGCAGAUAUCAGGAGGAACACCGAUGGCGAAGGCAGGUCACUGGGCCGCAACUGACGCUGAGGAGCGAAAGCAUGGGGAGCGAACAGG